rnacentral:rRNA from 1 species
GACGAACGCUGGCGGCGUGCUUAACACAUGCAAGUCGAACGGAAAGGCCCUGCUUUUGUGGGGUGCUCGAGUGGCGAACGGGUGAGUAACACGUGGGUAACCUGCCCUUGACUUUGGGAUAACUUCAGGAAACUGGGGCUAAUACCGGAUAGGAGCUCCUGCUGCAUGGUGGGGGUUGGAAAGUUUCGGCGGUUGGGGAUGGACUCGCGGCUUAUCAGCUUGUUGGUGGGGUAGUGGCUUACCAAGGCUUUGACGGGUAGCCGGCCUGAGAGGGUGACCGGCCACAUUGGGACUGAGAUACGGCCCAGACUCCUACGGGAGGCAGCAGUGGGGAAUAUUUCACAAUGGGCUGAAGCCUGAUGCAGCAACGCCGCGUGCGGGAUGACGGCCUUCGGGUUGUAAACCGCUUUCGCCUGUGACGAAGCGUGAGUGACGGUAAUGGGUAAAGAAGCACCGGCUAACUACGUG